rnacentral:rRNA from 1 species
GAAUGCUGACAUAAGUAACGAUAAAGCGGGUGAAAAGCCCGCUCGCCGGAAGACCAAGGGUUCCUGUCCAACGUUAAUCGGGGCAGGGUGAGUCGACCCCUAAGGCGAGGCCGAAAGGCGUAGUCGAUGGGAAACGGGUUAAUAUUCCCGUACUUGGUGUUACUGCGAAGGGGGGACGGAGAAGGCUAUGUUGGCCGGGCGACGGUUGUCCCGGUUUAAGCGUGUAGGUGUGUGUUCCAGGUAAAUCCGGUUCACUUUAACACUGAGGCGUGACGACGAGGCACUACGGUGCUGAAGCAACAAAUGCCCUGCUUCCAGGAAAAGCCUCUAAGCAUCAGGUAACAUCAAAUCGUACCCCAAACCGACACAGGUGGUCAGGUAGAGAAUACCAAGGCGCUUGAGAGAACUCGGGUGAAGGAACUAGGCAAAAUGGUGCCGUAACUUCGGGAGAAGGCACGCUGACACGUAGGUGAAGUGAUUUACUCAUGGAGCUGAAGUCAGUCGAAGAUACCAGCUGGCUGCAACUGUUUAUUAAAAACACAGCACUGUGCAAACACGAAAGUGGACGUAUACGGUGUGACGCCUGCCCGGUGCCGGAAGGUUAAUUGAUGGGGUCAGCGCAAGCGAAGCUCCUGAUCGAAGCCCCGGUAAACGGCGGCCGUAACUAUAACGGUCCUAAGGUAGCGAAAUUCCUUGUCGGGUAAGUUCCGACCUGCACGAAUGGCGUAAUGAUGGCCAGGCUGUCUCCACCCGAGACUCAGUGAAAUUGAACUCGCUGUGAAGAUGCAGUGUACCCGCGGCAAGACGGAAAGACCCCGUGAACCUUUACUAUAGCUUGACACUGAACAUUGAGCCUUGAUGUGUAGGAUAGGUGGGAGGCUUUGAAGUGUGGACGCCAGUCUGCAUGGAGCCGACCUUGAAAUACCACCCUUUAAUGUUUGAUGUUCUAACGUGGACCCGUUACCCGGGUUGCGGACAGUGUCUGGUGGGUAGUUUGACUGGGGCGGUCUCCUCCUAAAGAGUAACGGAGGAGCACGAAGGUUGGCUAA